UACGUAGGGGGCGAGCGUUGUCCGGAAUUAUUGGGUGUAAAGGGUGCGUAGACGGGAGCUUAAGUUAGUUGUGAAAUCCCUCGGCUCAACUGAGGAAGAUAGACUAAAACUGGGUUUCUUGAGUGCAGGAGAGGAAAGUGGAAUUCCUAGUGUAGCGGUGGAAUGCGUAGAUAUUAGGAGGAACACCAGUGGCGAAGGCGACUUUCUGGACUGUAACUGACGUUGAGGCACGAAAGUGUGGGGAGCAAAC
rnacentral:rRNA from 1 species